ACGUAGGGGGCGAGCGUUAUUCGGAAUUACUGGGUGUAAAGGGUAUGUAGGCGGCCCUUCAAGUCGCGUGUCAAAGUCCAGUGCUCAACGCUGGGUGGGCGCGCGAUACUGACGAGCUUGAGGGCUGGAGAGGUGAGCGGUAUUCCCGGUGUAGUGGUAAAAUCCGUAGAUCUCGGGAGGACCACCAGCGGCGAAGGCGGCUCACUAGACCGUUUCUGACGGUAAGAUACGAAAGCGUGGGGAGCAAACCG
rnacentral:rRNA from 1 species